AAAUGGACGCAUCGUCUUAUACGUGCGUCAUUUUUUCACGCAAUUUUAAACAGUUCUUGUGUAUUUAAUUAUUACGAUUGUCUAAAUUCGGAAAAAAUAUUUUGUCAAUAUGAAAGUAGCUGGUUGCAGUUCCGAAGUUGGCUAAUAAAUAAUCCAUUUUCUCACCAAGAUUGAGCCUGCAAUAUCCAGCCUCUCUCCUUCAAAAAUGUUCAUUGUUGAAAAAAAUUUCGAUGAUUAAUUUCGAUUAUUAUGAAUUAUUAUGAAAUUUUUAUCAAAAUGCUUUUACAUAAACGUUUAAAAAAAUAUAUGUAAAUAUUUUGAGAUAAUGAUUUUUAGACUAUAACAAUUCUAUCUUGAGACAAUGGAAUAUGAUAUCUCGCUUGUUGAAAUGGAAUUCUUUUAUUAAUAAAAAUAAUUUCGAAGCCCUAAUGGCGGAGAUUAGAUGUUUGGAUUUUGUCAAUUUUCGUGAUCAUCGAUGCUGUAAGUACGGACGAAAAUGUUUGAUACGACUUCUCGGUUGUCGAAGUGGAAUAUUUUUAUUUAAUAUUAUUACUUUUUAAUUUAAGGACUGAGAAAAAUGUUAGAUACAAUCUCUCGGUUGU